rnacentral:rRNA from 1 species
UGGCGGCAGGCCUAACACAUGCAAGUCGAGCGGAUGACGGGAGCUUGCUCCUGGAUUCAGCGGCGGACGGGUGAGUAAUGCCUAGGAAUCUGCCUGGUAGUGGGGGACAACGUUUCGAAAGGAACGCUAAUACCGCAUACGUCCUACGGGAGAAAGCAGGGGACCUUCGGGCCUUGCGCUAUCAGAUGAGCCUAGGUCGGAUUAGCUUGUUGGUGAGGUAAUGGCUCACCAAGGCGACGAUCCGUAACUGGUCUGAGAGGAUGAUCAGUCACACUGGAACUGAGACACGGUCCAGACUCCUACGGGAGGCAGCAGUGGGGAAUAUUGGACAAUGGGCGAAAGCCUGAUCCAGCCAUGCCGCGUGUGUGAAGAAGGUCUUCGGAUUGUAAAGCACUUUAAGUUGGGAGGAAGGGUUGUAGAUUAAUACUCUGCAAUUUUGACGUUACCGACAGAAUAAGCACCGGCUAACUCUGUGCCAGCAGCCGCGGUAAUACAGAGGGUGCAAGCGUUAAUCGGAAUUACUGGGCGUAAAGCGCGCGUAGGUGGUUUGUUAAGUUGGAUGUGAAAGCCCCGGGCUCAACCUGGGAACUGCAUCCAAAACUGGCAAGCUAGAGUACGGUAGAGGGUGGUGGAAUUUCCUGUGUAGCGGUGAAAUGCGUAGAUAUAGGAAGGAACACCAGUGGCGAAGGCGACCACCUGGACUGAUACUGACACUGAGGUGCGAAAGCGUGGGGAGCAAACAGGAUUAGAUACCCUGGUAGUCCACGCCGUAAACGAUGUCAACUAGCCGUUGGAAUCCUUGAGAUUUUAGUGGCGCAGCUAACGCAUUAAGU